UUCAUCUGAGGGUGCUGCCGCCACAACCUUUGCCUCCUGCUCUGCUAUCCUCUCCUUCCCCCCGGCCGCCGCCGCCAGCAGUGCAGUCCCUCCUGCACGCAUGCUCUGGUUCACCGAAGGGAGAUUCUGAAUUUUUUUUUUCCUAUCUUGCUCAAGAUCAUCACCAUGAUGCUCCUUAUCAUGGUUAUCAUUUCCUCCUGCCAGGAGGAGCGACCACCAGCGCCUUCUCUCUGCCCGCCCCUUCCCCAGCGAAGGAAGCUACUCGGCCCGGCCCCGGCGGCCGCUCCCUUAGAUGCGGACUUUGCCUCUCCGCACCCCUCUCUCAUCCAUCUGCAUAUAUAUUAUCUUGAUCCCUUUUAUUCCAGUAGAUCUACUGCUUUUCGUUGGGCCGGCUAGAACGCUGCGGAAUGCGACCAGUCUCUUUAAAAGAAGAACAAAAAGAGGAAGACCCUGAGCGGACCCCCGGACAAAGCACUUUGGACUCGGCAAGAAGGGACGCGCGGGAGCGCUGGCUCGGGAACACGAGUGAUCUUCCGUGUCCUAGGACGGCCGCCCGGCGUCCGGACCUCUGAGGCGAGAGAACUGCAGCAGCCGAGUUCCGGAAGGCUGAUUCCCCAGAUCCCGGCCCAGGGCCCCGGCAGCUCGCCCCUGCGGCACGCCCGGCCCGGCUGCGCCUGGACUCGGCGAACGAGGAAAAAGCCUGGAUCCGAAAGGAUGGGGAGAACAAAGAGCCUUUGGAAGACGUCGCUGUUACCUCAUUGUCUGUGUGAUUGGGGGAGCUGCGGUAGGGAGGAUGCUGUGGUCCUUUCCUCCCUGCGCUCCCCCGCCCCCACGCCUCUCCCCGCUGUCAGUGCGCACGCACACGCGCCGCUUUUUCCUUGGUUUUCCUUGUUUUCUCACUCCAUCUUCUCCCUAUCCUCCUUCCCUUCUUCCACCUUUCCUUCCUUCCUCCUUUCCUUCCUUCCUCCUUCCUUCCUCAGGAGAA